AAACCAGGCUUCUUACAGGGAGAUUUGGUGCUUUCUCAGAUGUUUCCUAUCAGCCUUCGCGCCUUCUCAGGUGGUGGCGAUGCUCUGAUGGCAGAGGAGAAUCCUUUUCAGACCAUCUUGGUGCUCUCUCUUGUCACUGAGAGUGAAUAUUUCAGGGGAUAAGAGGAGAAGGGGUUUUUGUUUCUGGGAUGCUGCAUUUUUACUCUAUUAAGGGCAUCAAGCUGGCGUUUGUAGACCUUGAAAUAAAACAAGAGUUCAUCUUCAGGACGGGAUAAGGACAUUUUGUGCAUGAAUUUGGCCCUGCAGAGCCGGGAUGCCGACAAGCAACGGGGCUGGGGUACAUUUUGCACGACGCAGCCGUGAGAGCGGAGGCUGCGAUAGCACAUCUGAGCCACGCAGAACCCAAAGGCACGUCUCUUUCACAACCGCGUCCCUUCAGCGGGGAUUGAGGAAAACAAAACCUUUGCCUGCCAAUUUGGUUUCCAUUCCUGGCUGACCUGCAGGCUGCCCUCGUGGCUUGGAGCAGCUCUGCUCUUGGACGCUUGCUCUUUACUUCUAAUUCUGAUGCUUUGCUUCGUGCUGCGGUGGAUGUAGCAUCGUGUCCCGUGGCGAGGCGAUGCUGUCCUGGGAAGCUCUUCCCUCCGUGUUUGCUGUUUAGGGGGCAGUUGCUCUCCUCUUCCAGCAGCUUUCUCCAUGAGCCCGGAGCAUUUGGUGCAUCUCAAGUGGCAGUUCCCUGCAGGUCAGAAGCGUUUGGCUGCAAAUCCCUGUUUGUGGAUGCUCACGGGGGUGCUGCACCAUCAGUUCAUGAGAAGAAAAAGAAUUAAAAGAGCCAGGUGUUGCAUGAGGCCAGGGAAUUCAGGAAUUCCCACCUGUCCUGGAAUAACACCUGGCCUUUGUGUCGUGGGCUUGUGGAAGGGGAAGAGGUGGGGACAGAUCCUCAGGGCCAGAAGGGUCCCAUGUCCCGAGUCAACCCUGAAGCAUCCUCUCGACCUCUCUGGAGACAGGACAAGUCUUUAGCACCUUGCUUUUCACCUUGGAAGGCGUGGAUCUCCCCUUCCUGCCAUCUCCGUGCGCUCUGGCCACCAGGCAUCACCUCCCAGGUCCGUGCAGAGCCCACGGUGACUCCGGCACAAGCGCGAAGUGCCGGUCUUUGCUUUAUCCUCAUGCCAGGGGCGCUGGCAAAGCUUCCAAACUGUGCUUCGAAUCAGUUUGGAGUCACAUUACGUUAUUUCUGGCUUGGCUGAAAGAAGUUUAUCCAGAUUCAGUGCUGCUGUCUCCUGUCAGACAGAGCACGCUGCCCCUCUCCGCUCUGCACCCGGGGGAGAAGCGUGCAGAGCCCCCGCCGUGCCCCAAAUCCCUCGGCCACCAGCGCAUCCUUUCCCUGUAGGUGACAUGAAAAACGUGCCUCUGUUUUGAAAAAAAAAUCUAUUUCUUUGAAGACUUUGAGCCGGUGAUAUAGAAGGGAAGUGAAAAGGAAGCGUUUUUUGAGGGGGAACUGCGGGAGGUGAGCCAAAGGUGCUUUUCUGCCCCCGCCACGGGCAGUUUGUGGCAGGAGCGCCUUCCCAGCUCAGCUCCUUCUUUCCCUUGGGUCCCUGGGGACAGCGGUGCUGGGUUUUGGUGCACCUUCGUGUCCUCGCCACCCUGCUCGGUGGCGAUGGGGACGUGAGCGAGCACCUGGGCUUGGUUUCCUCUUGGUUUCGGAGGCGCAAAGUGUGUGUGCCGGGGCGCUGGGAGGGCGUUCCCGGCGCAGCUGUGUUGCUUGU